rnacentral:rRNA from 1 species
CGGAAGGAUCAUUAUUGAAUAAACUUGAAACGAGUUGUUGCUGGCUUCUAUAUGGGUAUGUGCACACUUGGUCAUUUUUAUCUCUCCACUUGUGCACCUAUUGUAGAUCGAUUGAGGAUUGCUGUGCUUAAUAAAAAAAGUCAGCUUUGCCUUGUAUCUUUUAGAUCUAUUAUUUUUUUCACAACCUCUACAUGUGUAUAGAAUGUUGAAUUUGGGAAAUAUACAACUUUCAGCAACGGAUCUCUUGGCUCUCGCAUCGAUGAAGAACGCAGCGAAAUGCGAUAAGUAAUGUGAAUUGCAGAAUUCAGUGAAUCAUCGAAUCUUUGAACGCAUCUUGCGCUCCUUGGUAUUCUGAGGAGCAUGCCUGUUUGAGUGUCAUUAAGUUCUCAACCACAUCUCUGUUGAUGUGGCUUGGAUAGUGGGGGCUUAUAUUUGCAGUCUUUUGAAAAGAAGUCUGCUCCCCUGAAAUGAAUUAGUGGUAUCUAAGCAGAAACUACUAUAGGUGUGAUAAACUAUCUAUGCCUUGGUAAUACUGUAUAAACUGCUUCUAACAACAAAAGUUGACCAGUGUUGACCAAUUUGACCUCAAAUCAGGUAGGACUACCCGCUGAACUUA